rnacentral:rRNA from 1 species
UGGGGAAUAUUGCACAAUGGGGGAAACCCUGAUGCAGCGACGCCGCGUGAACGAAGAAGGUAUUCGUAUCGUAAAGUUCUGUCCUAUGGGAAGAUAAUGACAGUACCAUAGAAGAAAGCUCCGGCUAAAUACGUGCCAGCAGCCGCGGUAAUACGUAUGGAGCGAGCGUUGUCCGGAAUUAUUGGGCGUAAAGGGUACGCAGGCGGUUUAAUAAGUCGAAUGUUAAAGAUCGAGGCUCAACCCCGCAAAGCAUUGGAAACUGAUAAACUUGAGUAGUGGAGAGGAAAGUGGAAUUCCUAGUGUAGUGGUGAAAUACGUAGAUAGUAGGAGGAAUACCAGUAGCGAAGGCGACUUUCUGGACACAAACUGACGCUGAGGUACGAAAGCGUGGGGAGCAAACAGG